rnacentral:sRNA from 1 species
CUUAUGAGCUAUCAUACUAUAUCAUUGGGAGAUGGGAGUCUGUUCUUGUAUGUGUCCAUUGGCUUUUACCUUUAGCAUUCUACUGAAGCUCAAUCUUUUCUCUGAGAGUCCUCUGUGACUCGACCAAACCAUUAGAGGGACCAUUUUUGUCUCUUAGCCUAACCUCGAAACCAAGUGAGUUCAUAACCAUUGCAUUGCUUGAUCAACUGUUUAUGCUUAAUGAAUGUUAAAGGGAAUUGGUUGAUGUGAAUGUUUGAAUAGAUUAAGGCAAGUUGUUAGGUUGCAUUGUGACGAGUAUGGCUAACGUUUUUAAGUAAGGGUUUAUCAUCUUGUAACCUAGAAUUAGCUACCUGGACAUUGCGCUUACCUAUUUUAUAUGCAUGCUUCGCUUCUUGAAUCCCCACCUUCAAACUUCUCCUUCAACUUAAGAUUUUUGUUUGCUUGAGGGCAAGCAAGAGAUAAGUUUGGGAGAGUUGAUAACACUGUAUUUUACCCAUUUUAGGUGUAUGUUUAUCAUCAUUUAGCUUUGCAUUUGCUCAUUGUAUCAUAUCAUUUUGCACCAUUUUAGCUUGUUUUGCAUACUUAGGCAUCUAGGAUCAUCUUGCAUUCGCAUUGCAUGUUUUGGUGUGUUUUCAGGUGCAAAAGGAGCUUAAAAGGACUCUACUCGAUCCAUUCACUCGAUCCAGGCAGCUACAGAAGAGGCAUCAUUCUACUCGACCUCUUUACUCGAUCCAGGAUGCCACGGAGGAGGCUGCAGUUUACUCGACCCUCCUACUCGAUCAAGGCAACCUCAGAUGAAGCAGCAGAUUGAUCUACUCGCCCCUCCUACUCGAUCCACUACUCGAUCCAUUUACUCGAACAGGGUGACCACCCCUACAAGACUUGUUGAGCUAUCAAAGCGUCUUCGGAUCCUCCUCAUUCCCCACUCAUCCAGACAUUUGAGCAUACAGAUAGGAGAGGCUGAAGCAUCUACUCGACCAAUUGAUCACUCGGAGCAUAGACACAAAGGCGCAGACUUUGCAGCACCCUCUUUACUCGAUCCCCAAGGUCGAGUAUUCGCCAAAACCGCCUCAAGUCUCUUGUCUUCUAGUAAAUCUAGGGUUUCAACAUUUUAGUAUAAAU